rnacentral:rRNA from 1 species
GCAGGAGGUUGAGGUAGUAGCAGCCAGGUUGAAGAGAGAAGUAGCAGCAGGGGGUUGAGAAAAGAGAAGUAGUUGGUGAUAGAGUAGUAGCAGCAGCAACAAGAGGAGGAGCAGGACGGCAACAGGCGUUGAGAGAGAAGGAGGAAGAGAUUCAGCAGCAGGAGGUUGCGGGCAUCAGCAGCAGCAAGGAGGAGAGAGGCGCGCGGGGGGCCAGACACCCGUCUGGUCGGGCGCGCGAGGUGCGGCGGUGGGAUGGCGGCGCUGUGGUGCAGAUGGAGUGGUGGAUGUUGCUGAUGGUAUGGCGCGGCGGCGAAGAUGUGGAUGGGCGGCGCUGGUGGAAGCUGUGUGGUGGCUGAGAGGCGCACCACCACGCUGGCCUGUCCGUGGCGGCGGCCGAUGGUGGAGAAGAAGGGGAGAGGGAGAGAGAUCAGUG